rnacentral:rRNA from 1 species
GAUGAACGCUAGCGAUAGGCUUAACACAUGCAAGUCGAGGGGCAGCGAGGGUAGCAAUACCUGUCGGCGACCGGCGCACGGGUGAGUAACGCGUAUGUAACCUGCCCGCAACAGGGGGAUAACCCGGCGAAAGUCGGACUAAUACCGCAUAAAACAGGGGUCCCGCAUGGGAAUAUUUGUUAAAGAUUUAUCGGUUGCGGAUGGGCAUGCGUACCAUUAGGUAGUUGGUGAGGUAACGGCUCACCAAGCCUUCGAUGGUUAGGGGUUCUGAGAGGAAGGUCCCCCACACUGGUACUACGACACGGACCAGACUCCUACGGGAGGCAGCAGUGAGGAAUAUUGGUCAAGGGGCGAGAGCCUGAACCAGCCAAGUCGCGUGAAGGAGGACUGCCCUAUGGGUUGUAAACUUCUUUUACAAGGGAAUAAAAUGAGAUACGUGUAUUUUAUUGCAUGUACCUUGGGAAUAAGCAUCGGCUAACUCCGUG